rnacentral:rRNA from 1 species
AAUCAACGCUGGCGGCGCGCCUCAGACAUGCAAGUCGAACGAUUAAAGCCCUCUUCGGAGGGUGCAUAAAGUGGCGCACGGGUGAGUAACACGUAAGUAAUCUACCUUCGAGUGGGGAAUAACGUUCGGAAACGGACGCUAAUACCGCAUAAUGCAGCGGCAUCGCAAGAUGACAGUUGUUAAAGAUUUAUCGCUUGAAGAGGAGCUUGCGGCAGAUUAGCUAGUUGGUAAGGUAACGGCUUACCAAGGCGACGAUCUGUAUCCGGUCUAAGAGGACGGUCGGACACACUGACACUGAAUAACGGGUCAGACUCCUACGGGAGGCAGCAGUCGGGAAUUUUGGGCAAUGGGCGAAAGCCUGACCCAGCAACGCCGCGUGAAGGAUGAAGUUUUUCGGAAUGUAAACUUCGUAAGAAUAGGAAGAAUAAAUGACGGUACUAUUUGUAAGGUCCGGCUAACUACGUGCCAGCCGCCGCAGUAAAAC